UGUGUUUGUAAAUCCUGCCAACUGAAUGCACACACACGCUUACGCACCAACAACUGAAUGCACUUGAGCAAGUGAAUGCCGAUUUUCCGGCAUUCACUUGACAUUCUUUUUUUUCCGGUCUAAAAUGAUGUUUUUUAUCAUAUAUGUGAAAAUUGUGACAUGUUUCAGUUGGCAGGAUUUUCGUGUAAUGUGUGUUGCAGUUGUGUGAAAAUUUUUGCAUCGCGCGGUUUUUCAACACACACACGUCAACCAAUGCGCAUGCUCGUUUUCAACCGGAAGCACAUACGGGAGGAAGGUGACUUUUCAGGCACAGACAUGAAGAGAUUGCGGACGCGUUGCCAGAGAAUGGCUUCAAAGAAAAAUGGAUACUCCAUGAUUUCAGAAAGAAAUUUAUGCAGACAAAGGGCGAGGUGUAAAAACAAUCAAUUAAAGGCGGCAUGGCGACCUCCUUCUCCCUUACCAUGAAUCUAUGAUUUCAAAAGAAAAAUGGGACAGAAGGGAAUAGCAAAGAAGCUCUGGAUUUAGUCGGGGUUUUUUUUGACUGAAGGAAACAGUUCUGUGUGGAUGCAACCGAAGAAAAUGAAUAAUUGGGAGACUGGUAAACCUGGUGAUGUAUGGCAAACAUUCCAAGCAAAACAUGAAAUGUGUUGAUGGCCACCUAUGUCACUUUACAACAAGGCUAAAUAUGGAGGGCAAGGCUACAGCGCAAGUCCUUUGUCAGAAGGUCAUGGACAAUUCAGGAAAAGGCUGUAGUACAACAGCAACUAUAAGGAAAAUCUUUUGCUGAAAAUGUUACGAGGGAAGGCUAAUUGUUAAGAGGUCCUCCGAAAAGAACCAGUGUUGCAUGGCAGAACCUGGAAACAAACUAAGGACCUCAUCUGGAACUGUAAUAUAAGAAGACAGCCAAGAAGAAUUUGCUUGUAUCAGAUCAGGCUGUUAGUGAGACUAUAUGAUAUUGCUGCCUAUUGAUUGUGUGUAUCCAAUAUGGUUGUCGGUUGACAGUAUAUCAGAUGUGACUAUCAGUUGACUGUGUGUAUCAGAUAUGGUUGUCAGUUGACAAUGUGUAUCAGAUAUGGCUGUCAGUUGAUAGUGUGUAUCGGAUAUGGCUGUCAGUUUACAGUGUAUAUAAGAUGUGGGUGUCAGUACAGUGUGUAUCAGAUAUGGCUGUCAGCUGGCUAUCAGAUGUGGCUGUCAGUUGACAAUGUGUAUCAGAUAUGGCUGUCGGUUGAUAGUGUGUAUCGGAUUUGGCUGUCAGUUGACAAUGCGUAUCAGAUAUGGCUGUCAGUUGACUGUGUGUAUCGAUUAUGGCUGUCAGUUGACAUUGUGUAUCAUAUAUGGCUGUCGGUUGAUAGUGUGUAUCGGAUAUGGCUGUAAGUUGACAAUGCGUAUCGGAUAUGGCUGUCAGUUGACAGUGUGUGUCAGAUAUAGCUGUCAGUAAGGUGUGUAUAAGAUAUGGCUGUCAUGAUCAGUUGACAAUGUGUAUCAGAUAUGGCUUUCAGUAAAGUGUAUAUCAAGUAUGGCUGUCAAUAAAGUGUGUAUAAGGUAUGGCUGUCAGUUGACAAUGUGUAUUGCAUAUGGCUGUCAGUUUACAAUGUGUAACAGAUACUGUGUUAGUAUAAGAUGUAGGUGUCAGUUGACAGUGUGUAUUAGAUAUGGCUGUCAGUUGAUAGUGUGUAUCAGAUAUGGCUGUCAGUAGUGUGUAUACGAUAUGACUGUCAGUUGCAUUGUGUAUCCGAUGUGACAGUGACAGUGUGUAUCAGAUACUGAAUCAGUAAAGUGUCUAUCAGAUAUUGCUGUCAGUUGGCAGUGUGUAUAAAAUAUGGCUGUCAGUAAAGUGUGUAUCAGAUAUGGCUGUCAGUUGACUAUAUCACAUGUGCCUGUCAGUUGACAGCGGUAUCAGAUACUGUGUCAAUAAAGUGUGUAUCAGAUAUGACUGUCAGUUGCCUAUAUCAGAUAUGGCUGUCAGUUGACAGUGUGUAUCAGAUACUAUGUCAGUAAAGAGUGUAUAAGAUAUGGCUCUCAGUACAGUGUGUAUAAGGUAUGGCUGUCAGUUGACUAUAUCACAAGUGGCUGUCAGUUAACAGUGUGUAUAAGAUAUAUAUAUAUAUAUAUAUGGAUGUCAGUUGACUAUCAGAUGUGGCUGUCAGUUGACAGUGUAUCAGAUGUGGCUGUCAGUUGACAAUGUCUAUCGGAUAUAGCUGUCAUUUUACAAUGUGAAUCAGAUAUUGUGUAAGUAAAGUGUGUAUAAGAUAUGAGUGUCAGUUGACAGUAUAAGAUAUGAGUGUCAGUUGACUAUAUCACAUGUGCCUGUCAGUUGACAGUGUAUCAGAUAUUGCUGUCAGUUGAAAGUGUGUAUUAAAUAUGGCUGUCAGUUGACUAUAUAAUGUAUCAAUGUCAGUUGACUAUUUCUGAUAUGGCUGUAAGUUGACAGUGUGUAUGAGAUGUGGCUGUCAGUUGAUAGUGUGUAGCAGAUAUGGCCGUCAGUUGACAGUGUGUAUCGGAUAUGGCUGUCAGUUGACAGUGUGUAUCGGAUGUGGCUGUCAGUUGACAGUGUGUAUCGGAUAUGGCUGUCAGUUGACAGUGUUUAUCAGAUACUGUGUCAGUAAAGUGUGUAAAAGAUGUGGGUGUCAGUUGACAGUGUGUAUAAGGUAUGGCUGUCAGUUGACUAUAUCAGAUGUGGCUUUCAGUUGACAGUGUAUCAGAUAUAGCUGCCAGUUGAAAGGUUGUAUUAGAUAUGGCUGUCAACUAAUGUAUUGUUGUCAGUUGACUAUUUCAGAUAUGGCUGUCAGUUGACAGUGUGUAGCAGAUAUGGCUGUCAGUUGAUAGUGUGUAGUAGAUAUGGCUGUCAGUUGAUAGUGUGUAGUAGAUAUGGCUGUCAGUUGAUAGUGUGUAGUAGAUAUGGCUGUUAAUUGACAAUGUUUAUCAGAUACUGUGUCAGUAAAGUGUGUAAAAGAUGUGGGUGUCAGUUGACUUUAUCAGAUGUGGCUUUCAGUUGACAGUGUGUAUCAGAUAUAGCUGCCAGUUGAAAGGUUGUAUUAGAUAUGGCUGUCAGUUGACUAUAUAAUGUAUUGUUGUCAGUUGACUAUUUCAGAUAUGGCUGUCAGUUGACAGUGUGUAGCAGAUAUGGCCGUCAGUUGAUAGUGUGUAUCGGAUAUGGCUGUCAGUACAGUGUGUAUAAGAUAUGGAUGUCAGUUGCCUAUAUCAGUUGUGGCUGUCAGUUGACAGUAUAAGAUAUGGCUGUCAGUUGACUAUAUCACAUGUGGCUAUCAGCUGAGAGUAUAAGAUAUAGAUGUCAGUUGACUAUAUCAGAUGUGGCUGUCAGUUGAUGUCAGUUGACUAUAUCAGAUAUGGCUGUCAGUUGACAGUGUAUCAGAUAUGGCUGUCGGUUGACUGUGUAUAAGCUGUGGGCCUCAGUUUACAGUGUGUAUUAGAUAUGGUUGUCAGUACAGUGUGAAUAAGAUAUGGCUGUCGGUUGACAGUGUGUAUAUGAUUAAGAUAUGGCUGAAAGUUGACAGUUUGUAUCAGAUAUGGCUGUCAGUAAGCUGUGUAUCAGAUAUGGCUGUCAGUUGACGGUUUGUAUAAGUUAUGGCCGUCAGUAAAGAGUGUAUUAGAUAUUGCUGUCAGUUGAAAGUGUCUAUUAGAUAUGGCUGUCAGUUGACUAUAUAAUAUAUCAAUGUCAGUUGAAUAUUUCAGAUAUGGCUGUCGGUUGACAAUGUUUAUCAGAUACGGCUGUCAGUUGAAAGUGUAUAUGAGAUAUGGCUGUCAGUAAAGUGUGUAUCAUUUAUGGCUGUUAAUUGACAAUGUGUAUAAUAUAUGGCUGUCAGUUGACAUACUGAUACUGUGUA